UUCCGGUUGAUCCCGCCGGAGGCUACCGCUAUUGGAGUUCGAUUAAGCCAUGCGAGUCGAGAGUCUUAGGGACUCGGCGUACCGCUCAGUAGCACGUGGGUAACCUGCCCUAUGCUGGGGAAUAACCUCGGGAAACUGAGAAUAAUGCCCCAUAGUCCACCAUGCCUGGAACGGUUGGUGGAUGAAAGCUCCGGCGGCAUAGGAUGGGCCUGCGGCGUAUCAGGUCGUAGGGGGUGUAACGUACCCUCUAGCCAUCGACGCGUACGGGUGUUGGGAGACAUAGCCCGGAGAUGGAUUCUGAGACACGAAUCCAGACCCUACGGGGUGCAGCAGGCGCGAAAACUUGGCAAUGCGAGAAAUCGUGACCAGGGAACUCCAAGUGGCUGGGGUAAGACCCAGUCUUUUCUUGACUCUUCAAAGGUCUUGGAAUAAGGGGUGGGUAAGGACGGUGCCAGCCGCCGCGGUAAUACCGGCGCCUCAAGUGGUAGUCGAUUUUAUUGGGCCUAAAACGUCCGUCGCCUGUUCGGUACAUUCGUGGGUAAAUCAACCAGCUCAACUGGUUGAAUUCUGCGAGCACGGCCAGACUUGGGACCGGGAGAGGUGUGGGGUACGCUCAGGGUAGGGGUAAAAUCCUGUCAUCCUGAGCGGACCACCUGUUGCGAAGGCUCCACACUAGAACGGAUCCGACGGUCAGGGACGAAGCCCAGGGGCACGAACCGGAUUAGAUACCCGGGUAGUCCUAGGUGUAAACGCUGUGGACUUGGUGUUGGGAAGGUUCCGAGCCUUCUCAGUGCCGAAACGAAGGUGAUAAGUCCACUGCCUGGGGAGUACGGUCGCAAGGCUGAAACUUAAAGGAAUUGGCGGGGGAGCACCGCAACCUGAGGAUUGUGCGGUUUAAUUGGAUUCAACGCCGG
rnacentral:rRNA from 1 species